GAUACCAAUGCCAGAAUCGCUGAAUUUUUUUCACGCAGGGAAGUCAAACUACAGCAGUAGAAUCAGAGAAUCAUAGAAUUGCUCAGGUUGGAAAAGAGCUUAAAGAUCAUUGAGUCCAACCACAACCUAACCAUACUACCCUAACUCUAACAACCCUCCGCUAAAUCAUGUCCCUGAGCACCACAUCCAAAUGGUUUUUAAACACAUCCAGGGAUGGUGACUCAACCACCUCCCUGGGAAGCCUAUCCCAGUGUUUAAUCACCCUUUCUGUAAAGAAGUUUUUUCCUGAUAUCCAACCUAGACUUACCCUGGCGCAACUUGAGGCCAUUUCCCCUCGUCCUGUCACCUGUCACCAGUGAGAAGAGACCAACCCCGCUCUCACUGUAAGCACCUUUCAGAUAUUGCAAGAGAGCAAUAAGGUCUCUUAUUAUAUCCCCUCAGCCUCCUUUUCCCCAGACUAAACAGCCCCAGUUUCUUCACUCUCUCCUCGUAGGACAUGUUCUCCAAGCCCUUCACAAGCCUUGUUGCCCUUCUUUGGACCUGUUCCAGCACUUCAAUGUCCUUUCUGUACUGAGGUGACCAAAACUGAACACAGUACUCAAAGUGAGGCCUCACCAAUGCUGAGUACAGGGGCAGGAUGACUUCCCUAGUCCUGCUCACCACACCAUUCCUGAUACAAGCCAGGAUGCCACUGGCCUUCUUGGCCACCUGGGCACACUGCUGGUUCAUAUUCAGCCGACUGUCAAUCAGUACACCAAGGUCUCUUUCCAUCAGGCAGCUUUCCAGCCACUCCUCCCCAAGCCUGUAGGGUUGCCUGGGGUUGUUGUGACCAAAAUGCAGGACCCGACACUUUUCCCUAUUGAAACUCAUACAGUUUACCCUGGCCUAUUGAUCCAGUCUAUCCAGGUCCCUCUGUAGUGCCUUUCUCCCCCUCAGGCAGAUCAACACUCCCUCCCAACUUGGUGUUGUCUGCAAACUUACUGAGGGUGCACUCAAUCCCCUCGUCAAGAUCGUUAAUAAAGAUGGUAAAUAAAUCAUUAAUCGUUAAUAAAACAUUAAGUCCAACUCACCUGCAAUGAACAGGGACACCUACAGCUACAUCAGUCUGCUCAGAGCCCCAUGCAGCUUGACCUUGAGUGUCUGCAGGGAGAGGGCAUCUAUCACCUCUCUGGGCAACCUGUGCCAGUGCCUCACCACCUUUAUUUUAAAAAACUUCUUUGUUAUACCCAAUCUAAAUCUCCCCUCUUUCCAUUUGAAACCAUUUCCCCUUGUCCUAUUGCCACAGACCCUGCAAAAGAAUCUGUCCCCUUCCUUCUUAUAGCCCCCCAUCCCACUCAGAUACUGAAAGGCCGCUUUCAG
ensembl:lncRNA